GGAUUUGAAGGCAUCUGGCUGUGACAUCUGUCACCCCAUUGAUUGUCAGGGUUGAUUCGGCUGAUCUGGCUGGGUAGGUGGGUGUCCCCUUCCUCCCUUACCACUGCAUGUGUGUCCCUCCCAAAGCUGCGUGCUUGGUGGAAAAGGACGACCAUUCCUUACAGAAGACUGUUUUUGGGUCAAGAGUAUACAAGUAGCUGCACUCCCCUGCUAGAACCUACAAACAAGCUCUCAAAAAAAAAAAAAAAAAAGAACCAAAAAAUUAUUUUUAAAAGAUGCUUUCAAAAUUAAAAUUUCAUAACAUUU
rnacentral:snRNA from 1 species